CAGCCCAUGGCGCAGUCUGGUAGCGCGCUUGUCUGGGGGACAAGAGGUCGCAGGUUCGAACCCUGUUGGGCUGACCA
rnacentral:tRNA from 1 species